UCAUGUCAUAUCAAAAACAUUUUCCUUCUACUAUUUUGUUGUUCAACAAAGUUGUUUAGAAUGUUCCUUGCUGUAUAUUAUUAUGGAAAGUCACCAACCCGAACAUGACAAAAACGGGUUACCUGACACGUUUUGGAAGACCCCACAGCGCGUACCGGGCAGGCCCCAGCGGGGAGUGGAGGUUAUGUCUGGGUCCUCGUAUCAGCAGUUCCAGGCGUCCGUAAACGACGCCUGGGACCUGGGGGACGACGAGAUCAUAUCAGGGAUCGCGGAGACGAAGAUAUCGAAAGCCAUAUCGCAAACCGCCGCUUUGAACGUUAUAAAUUCGCAUAGGAAUAGUACUAAGAAUGUGAAGACAGUGAAGACUGAGGUUGAGGGUGAAAAGGAGGAGAAGAAAGUGCAGAAGGAGGAUGCCGUGCCGGUGAGGAGGAGUGAGGGGAGGCGGAGCGGCCCCGGGGGCAGCGCGGGGCCGCUGCGGCACUACCCGGGGCGGCCGCGGGCGGUGCGGCUCUCGGCGCUCACCUCUCGCGAGGAGAGCAGUGAGUCUAAGCUGGAGAGGUUCCAGCAGCUGCAUGACAGUGCCGUCAUUAACUUGGAUGAGCUUAAGCAACUCAGCUGGUCCGGAAUUCCAGUAAAGGCUCGUGCCAACACAUGGCGUCUACUAGCAGGCUACCUCCCAGCCAACACCGAGCGUCGAACCGAGACCCUGGAGCGCAAGCGGGCGGACUACAAGCACUUAGUCAGACAGUACUACGAUGCGGAGAGAGACGAUGACACUUACAGGCAGAUACAUAUUGAUAUACCGAGGAUGAGUCCAUUGGUAGCGCUGUUUCAGCAACACACAGUUCAGGUGAUGUUCGAACGCAUCCUCUACAUCUGGGCGAUCCGUCACCCCGCCUCUGGGUACGUGCAAGGCAUCAAUGACCUUGUCACUCCAUUCUUCAUGGUGUUCCUACAAGAAGCCAUCCCUGGUGAAGAACUAGAUAACUACCCGCUGGAUAAACUAGAGGAAGCACAGAGAGAUGUUAUAGAAGCGGAUUCUUUUUGGUGCCUAUCGAAGUUUCUGGACAGUAUACAGGAUAAUUAUAUAUUUGCACAGCUUGGGAUUCAAUAUAAGGUGAACCAGCUGAAGGAGCUGAUCCGCCGCAUCGACCUGCCGCUGCACACGCACCUGCAGCACCACGGCGUCGACUACCUUCAGUUCUCCUUCCGCUGGAUGAACAACCUGCUCACCAGGGAGAUCCCCCUGCCCUGCACCAUCCGCCUGUGGGACACCUAUCUGGCCGAGUCUGACGGCUUCGCUACCUUCCAGCUAUAUGUCUGUGCAGCAUUCCUUCUCCACUGGCGCGAGCGUCUCAUGCUAGAACGCGACUUCCAAGGGCUCAUGAUCCUCCUGCAGAACGUACCAACACAGAAUUGGACGGACUCCAACAUCAGUGUACUGGUGGCGGAGGCCUACCGGUUAAAGUUCGCGUUCGCUGACGCCCCGAACCAUCUCAACGCGGGCAAGUCGGACAGGUGACGGGGCGAUGUCGGAUAAUCAGGUUUCUGUAUGUGACUACUGUGUAUUGCAAGAUUUUAUGAUACUGUACACUUCUAAAACUCAACUGUUGCAAGAUUGUAAGACACUGUGACAAUUAUAAACAGAAAUAGAUACCAUACACUAAAGAAAAAGCGAUCAACCACACUGGUGGCGAAGCCGGGAAUCGAACCCGGGUCUCGCGGCUACUCUAAAGCAAUGUUUUUUUCUCCAAAAAGUACUAAGACAGAACUGGACGGACUUCAACAUACUAGUGGUAGAGGACUACCGGUUAAAAUUCGCCUUCGCUAAUGUCCCGAACCUUCUCAACGCGGACAAGUCGGACAGGUGACGGGGCGAUGUCGGAUAAUCAGGUCUCUGUCACCAUUUUUGUAUUGCAAGAUUUUAUGAUACUGUACACUUCUAAACCUUAUGAUCUUCAAAACGUUGAACUCAAAAGGACUCCAAAAUGGCUACAUUUGACGACUGCUAUUUUCAAUAUGAUGCUGUAAUCUUAUAAUUUUGUGAAGGGGCCAUACAAACCAAGACGCUUCGCCUUAUAAAGAUAGACAUUUAAAG
rnacentral:misc_RNA from 1 species